rnacentral:tRNA from 1 species
GAGGGUGUAGCUCAAGUGGCACAGUGCGUGCUUAGCAUGCACGAGACCCUGGGUUCAAUCCCCGGUGCCCCUC